UGGUAAUGCCGGAUGUUCCACAUGAUCGCAUGUGAUUGUGGGAAAGAUUCUAUCGGCGUGGGAUGGGGUCGCGUCCUAUCAGCUUGUUGGUGAGGUAACGGCUCACCAAGGCUUCGACGGGUAGCCGGCCUGAGAGGGCGACCGGCCACAUUGGGACUGAGAUACGGCCCAGACUCCUACGGGAGGCAGCAGUGGGGAAUAUUGCACAAUGGGCGCAAGCCUGAUGCAGCGACGCCGCGUGAGGGAUGGAGGCCUUCGGGUUGUAAACCUCUUUUGUUUGGGAGCAAGCCUUCGGGUGAGUGUACCUUUCGAAUAAGCGCCGGCUAACUACGUGCCAGCAGCCGCGGUAAUACGUAGGGCGCAAGCGUUAUCCGGAUUUAUUGGGCGUAAAGGGCUCGUAGGCGGCUCGUCGCGUCCGGUGUGAAAGUCCAUCGCUUAACGGUGGAUCUGCGCCGGGUACGGGCGGGCUGGAGUGCGGUAGGGGAGACUGGAAUUCCCGGUGUAACGGUGGAAUGUGUA
rnacentral:rRNA from 1 species